UCUCUCCCUCUCGGCAUUGUGUACAGGCAAACACCAAAACCCAUUCAAAUUUCGUAGAUCGAGGAUGUUGAAGGUACCAUCGUGUUCCUUGCAAGCUCAGGAACACAUCUAGACCAUUUUCAGGUAAGGACAGCUUUGUCUUCACUUCGAAACCAUAACCCCGAUUUGGGGGUACUGUUCAUGCAAAUGUUAAAUCUUGUGUUUUUAGAAAUUUCAAGCUCACAGGAAGUUUAAGGAGGUCCUCACGAGUCUCGGGGUACUUCGUUGGAAGGAAAGGGACGUCGGAGGGCCGAGAUCGAAGUUAUUCUAGGUAAGUCGAACUAUUAA
rnacentral:lncRNA from 1 species